CCUCCAGCCACACUCUCUGUGCACUGUGUACCUCCACGCACUUUGCCGUCAGUUCUUUCAAACUAGUCUAAGGGAAAAUGAUACUUUUGCUUCAGCUGGCUUUACUUACAGCAGCCCUUGGAGGUGUGCAGUCAGAGGUGCAACUGGUCGAGUCUGGAGGGGAUGUGAAAAGGCCGGGAGAGUCCCUCCGCCUCUCCUGCCGGGCCUCCGGCUUCACCUUCAGCAGUUACAGCAUGGACUGGGUGCGCCAGGCUCCAGGGAAGGGUCUCGAAUGGGUUGCCUAUAUAAGCAGCGGUGGGGGCAGCAUAUACUAUGCGGACAAGGUGAAGGGGCGCUUCACCAUCUCCAGAGACAACCCCUCCAACAUGCUGUUCCUGCAAAUGAACCGCCUGAAUGCUGAAGACACGGCCGUGUAUUACUGUGCAACAGACACAGUGGGAGGAAGUGAAUGUGCAGCCGGGCGUAGAGCAAUCGGGAAGAUCCUAGAUUACUCCGGAGCUGUUUUGCUCAAAGGCCAG